ensembl:rRNA 5S_rRNA 5S ribosomal RNA
GUAUACAUCCAUACCACCCUGAAUACACUGGAUCUUGUCUGAUCUCGGAAGCUAAGCAGGGUUAGGCCUAGUUAGUAUAUGUA